rnacentral:pre_miRNA from 14 species
UAGCCCCACUAAAGAGAGAUGCGGAGCUGUUUUUGCGAUGUGUUCGUAAUGUGUGCUACAAUUAUAUUGGGAACAUUUUGCAUAAAUAGUUUUACAUCGACACACAGGCAAAGGUUG